rnacentral:lncRNA from 1 species
GAGGGUGCCCCACUCUCUGCCUCCCUCUUCUCCUCUGAACACUGGGGUGCUUGCAGCCACCCCCACCCGCCUCGCAGCUGUCCGGCCUCCCUGUGUGAGGUCCUGGCCCCCAAACUGCGCCGCCCCCUGCCACCCCCGGGGUGCCUCACGUGGUGUGGGGAUGGAGAGAGUCUGGGAGGCCUGGGGGACAGUCGGGUGGCAGAUCAGGUUCUGAGUCUGGUUGUCUCCACCCAGAGUUUCCAUUCUGGUCUCUGCCCCAGGCCUCUUCCCCCUGGAGGGUGGGGGGUGGGGGGCAGGAGUGGAGGCUGGGAGGGGGUGGUGGGGGUGGACAGGAGGCCUGCUGGGCUGCUGGGAGGGGGUUCUGCUCAGGGUGGCUGCCCCACCCUGCCUCUUCCCUACCUUCCAGAACCUUCUUUCAGCAUUCUCCCUCUGACCCCACCCUUCCCAUCCUGGAUUCUUCUUCUGGAAUCUGGGACUACGGAAUCUUGGGCUGUGGGCCUGAGUGGAGGAUCCCACGUCGCUGCUCCUGGGUCAGGGCGCGGCUGGGUCCCAGGACGGCCCCCCUCUGCCUCCCCUGACCCGAACCUGGCUGGGAGAGCGGCAGCCAUUCUGGGAGGAGGAAGGAGACCUGGCGUUGAGGAAGAGAAGCAGACAGGGCCACCCGGGAGGGAGAGAGAGUCCGAGCCAGAGGGCCAGGGAGAGACACCAGGGCAUUCCCAGGGACAGAAGAAACAAGGCGGAACCCGCCAGAGUUGGAGAAGGGCAGAGAGACACUCACCCAGGGAUUGCCCGGCCGUGCGCCUUCGGGCAAACGGCCUCCCGUGUCUGAGUCUCGGUUUCCUGGUCUGUGAAGUGGGGGCGAGUGAUCCCCUUCCCCGCUCGGCUAGCGGUGAGCGCUCGGGGAGGCCCUGUGUGCGCCAGGCGCCCAGGACCUCAGACCAGGCGCUGGUGUCGUUCCUUAUUCGUCUUUCAGGCGCACUUGAGGAGCCCAGACCGUGUACCAGCCGCUGCUGUAGGCCCCGGGAGACGCGGCUCAUCAGGCACACGUCCUGCCCCCCGGAGCCCCGCGGGCACAGUGUUGUCCUUGCCGGGGUCACCGUCACGCGAGGGAGCGUGAGCUGGAAUUUCAGUGGACGCGUCCUCAGCCCAAGGCGCAGGUCCCAGCCUGGGAGAGAGGGGCCCCCGCUUCCAGCCCCGGGUGGGCCUCUCGGGGCCCCAGAUGUCCAAGAUAAAAUGGGCAAAGACCCUUUCCCCUGUGCCAAGCGGCAGGGACAUGGCCGGGAUGGAUGGUGGCCCCCUGGGUCCCCUCUGUCCUUGGCGGUUCAUCCUUAA